UAUAGUUCCAGCUGACGCAGUGACGCACCAAAGACCUACGUAGGAUGGAUACCUACUAUUCAUUUCUUGACACACGUUUUUCAAUCUUUAAUUCCUAUCUAAUACUAUAAUAAUAACAAUAAUUUUAUUAGUUGAAACGUAUAAAAAAGCAGCUACAAAAUAAAACCAGAAAUCUACAACUCCAACGUUAAUUCCAAAAUAAAUAUUUGAUAAAGAUUGGGAUUGAAACAUCAUGAAUCCAAUGCGAAGUGGGUUAUCGCUUUUGCGGUAUUGGUAUUUUCGAUAUACUCUAGUAACCGAACUUUACAUGGUGGAAAAGUGGGAACGAAAUUUCAUCCAUGUUUUCAUGCUUGUAGUAUUCGGCUUGUUGUUCCUUUUCAAUUGCAAGGUUCUACUACCUGCAACAAUGAGUUUACUCACGUAACAAUUGGUUUGGCGAUAAAAUUGGUCCAGUUUCCGGGGCAAGACUGCAAGAUGCUUUGUUCCUGAACAUUCCAGGACUGAAUGAAUUCUUUUCCUUUUGAUUGUUAUUAUUGUUUUACAAAUAUGCUAAAUACAUUAUUUCUGCAGAUA